rnacentral:rRNA from 1 species
CGUGUAGGCGGACUAAUAAGUCAGGGGUGAAAUCCAACAGCUUAACUGUUGAACUGCCUUUGAUACUGUUAGUCUUGAAUUAUAUGGAAGUAGAUAGAAUGUGUAGUGUAGCGGUGAAAUGCUUAGAGAUUACACAGAAUACCGAUUGCGAAGGCAGUCUACUACGUAUAUAUUGACGCUAAUGGACGAAAGCGUGGGGAGCGAACAGGAUUAGAUACCCUGGUAGUCC